UAGGGAAUCUUCCGCAAUGGGCGAAAGCCUGACGGAGCAACGCCGCGUGAGUGAUGAAGGUCUUAGGAUCGUAAAACUCUGUUAUUAGGGAAGAACAAACGUGUAAGUAACUGUGCACGUCUUGACGGUACCUAAUCAGAAAGCCACGGCUAACUACGUGCCAGCAGCCGCGGUAAUACGUAGGUGGCAAGCGUUAUCAGGAAUUAUUGGGCGUAAAGCGCGCGUAGGCGGUUUUUUAAGUCUGAUGUGAAAGCCCACGGCUCAACCGUGGAGGGUCAUUGGAAACUGGAAAACUUGAGUGCAGAAGAGGAAAGUGGAAUUCCAUGUGUAGCGGUGAAAUGCGCAGAGAUAUGGAGGAACACCAGUGGCGAAGGCGACUUUCUGGUCUGUAACUGACGCUGAUGUGCGAAAGCGUGGGGAUCAAACA
rnacentral:rRNA from 1 species